rnacentral:rRNA from 1 species
CCAAUAGCGUAUAUUAAAGUUGUUGCAGUUAAAAAGCUCGUAGUUGAAUUUCGGGAUCAGCGCGUCGGUCGUGCCUCCGGUAUGCACUGGCGCCGCUGGUUUCUCCCUUCUGAGGAACCGUGAUGUCAUUAAUUUGGUGUUGCGGGAAAUCAGGACUGUUACUUUGAAAAAAUUAGAGUGUUUAAAGCGGGCACGCGCUUGAAUACAUUAGCAUGGAAUAACGAAAUAGGACGUUCGAUCUUAUUUUGUUGGUUUCUAGGAUUGACGUAAUGAUUAAUAGGGAUAGUUGGGGGCAUUAGUAUUCAAUUGUCAGAGGUGAAAUUCUUGGAUUUAUUGAAGACUAACUACUGCGAAAGCAUUUGCCAAGGAUGUUUUCAUUAAUCAAGAACGAAAGUUAGGGGAUCGAAGACGAUCAGAUACCGUCGUAGUCUUAACCAUAAACUAUGCCGACUAGGGAUCGGAUGAUGUUAAUUUUUUAAUGACUCAUUCGGCGCCUUACG